GUCCUUAUGGAGAAAUAUGAGGUCUGGCCUGCCCACUGAUGGGUAGUUUAAGGGCCGCGGUAUACUGACCGUGCGAAGGUAGCAUAGUCAGUAGUCUUUUAAUUGGAGGCUUGAAUGAAUGGUUGGACACGAAGGGAGCUGUCUCGGUCUAGGGUGGUGAAGUUAACUUUGGUGUGAAAAGGCAUUAAUGGUUUAAAGGGACGAUAAGACCCUAUAAAACUUGAUGGUUAGUUGUUGAUCAGUGACUUAAGGUUAAGCAGGAUUAGAAGAUGAGCCAUUUUGCUGGGGCGGUAGGAAUAUAAGUUUUGGUAACUGUUUGUUUUGGAAGUGGAAUAAUUAUAAUUAGAUAAUGAUCCUGAAUUUUAGAUUAAAAGAGAGAGUUACUUUAGGGAUAACAGCGUUAUUUCUCUUGAGAGUUCAUAUCGACAGAGAUGUUUGCGACCUCGAUGUUGAAUUAAAGCUUUCUUUGGGAGUAGAAGUUCAUAGGAUAGGUCUGUUCGACCUUUAAAGUUUUACAUGAUUUGAGUUCAAACCGGUGUAAG
rnacentral:rRNA from 1 species